rnacentral:rRNA from 1 species
ACGCUCGACACUACGGGGGGCAGCAGUGGGGAAUAUUGCACAAUGGGGGAAACCCUGAUGCAGCGACGCCGCGUGGAGGAAGAAGGUCUUCGGAUUGUAAACUCCUGUUGUUGGGGAAAAAGAGGAUGGUACCCAACAAGGAAGUGACGGCUAACUACGUGCCAGCAGCAGCGGUAAUCUGAGCGGGCUGGCAAGGC